rnacentral:rRNA from 1 species
CCUACGGGAGGCAGCAGUGAGGAAUAUUGGUCAAUGGACGAGAGUCUGAACCAGCCAAGUAGCGUGAAGGAUGACUGCCCUAUGGGUUGUAAACUUCUUUUAUAUGGGAAUAAAAUGUUCCACGUGUGGGAUUUUGUAUGUACCAUAUGAAUAAGGAUCGGCUAACUCCGUGCCAGCAGCCGCGGUAAUACGGAGGAUCCGAUCGUUAUCCGGAUUUAUUGGGUUUAAAGGGAGCGUAGGUGGAUUGUUAAGUCAGUUGUGAAAGUUUGCGGCUCAACCGUAAAAUUGCAGUUGAAAAUGGCAGUCUUGAGUACAGUAGAGGUGGGCGGAAUUCGUGGUGUAGCGGUGAAAUGCUUAGAUAUCACGAAGAACUCCGAUUGCGAAGGCAGUUCACUGGACUGCAACUGACACUGAGGCUCGAAAGUGUGGGUAUCAAACAGGAUUAGAUACCCUUGUAGUC